rnacentral:rRNA from 1 species
UGCAGUCGAACGGCAGCGCGGGGCAACCUGGCGGCGAGUGGCGAACGGGUGAGUAAUAUAUCGGAACGUACCCUGGAGUGGGGGAUAACGUAGCGAAAGUUACGCUAAUACCGCAUACGAUCUAAGGAUGAAAGUGGGGGAUCGCAAGACCUCAUGCUCCUGGAGCGGCCGAUAUCUGAUUAGCUAGUUGGCGGGGUAAAGGCCCACCAAGGCAGCGAUCAGUAGCUGGUCUGAGAGGACGACCAGCCACACUGGAACUGAGACACGGCCCAGACUCCUACGGGAGGCAGCAGUGGGGAAUUUUGGACAAUGGGCGCAAGCCUGAUCCAGCAAUGCCGCGUGCAGGAUGAAGGCCUUCGGGUUGUAAACUGCUUUUGUACGGAGCGAAAAGGCUUCCACUAAUACUGGGGGCUCAUGACGGUACCGUAAGAAUAAGCACCGGCUAACUACGUGCCAGCAGCCGCGGUAAUACGUAGGGUGCAAGCGUUAAUCGGAAUUACUGGGCGUAAAGCGUGCGCAGGCGGUUAUGUAAGACAGAUGUGAAAUCCCCGGGCUUAACCUGAGAACUGCAUUUGUGACUGCAUAGCUAGAGUACGGUAGAGGGGGAUGGAAUUCCGCGUGUAGCAGUGAAAUGCGUAGAUAUGCGGAGGAACACCGAUGG